rnacentral:rRNA from 1 species
GACGAACGCUGGCGGCGUGCUUAACACAUGCAAGUCGAGCGGUAAGGCCUCUUCGGGGGUACACGCGCGGCGAACGGGUGAGUAACACGUGGGUGACCUGCCCUCAGCUCUGGGAUAAGCCUGGGAAACUGGGUCUAAUACCGGAUAUGACCUUUCCUCGCCUGGGGUUUGGGGGAAAGUUUUUUCGGCGGGGGAUGGGCCCGCGGCCUAUCAGCUUGUUGGUGGGGUGAUGGCCUACCAAGGCGACGACGGGUAGCCGGCCUGAGAGGGCGACCGGCCACACUGGGACUGAGACACGGCCCAGACUCCUACGGGAGGCAGCAGUGGGGAAUAUUGCGCAAUGGGCGGAAGACUGACGCAGCGACGCCGCGUGGGGGAUGACGGCCUUCGGGUUGUAAACCUCUUUCGACCCCGACGAAUUUGGACGGUAGGGGUAGAAGAAGCACCGGCCAACUACGUG